rnacentral:tRNA from 1 species
GCCGGGGUGGUGGAACUGGCUUUACACGACGGCCUCAAAAGCCGUUGCCCGCAAGGGCGUGCGGGUUCGAAUCCCGCCCCCGGUA